UACGUAGGGGGCGAGCGUUGUCCGGAGUUACUGGGCGUAAAGGGCGUGCAGGCGGUGCGGUAAGUUUAGCGUGACAGUCUCCGGCUUAACUGGAGAAGGCCGCUGAAAACUGCUGGACUUGAGGGCCAGAGAGGGACAUAGAAUUCCGGGUGGAGUGGUGAAAUGCGCAGAUAUCAGGAGGAACACCAAUGGCGAAGGCAGCACUCUGGGACGUGACUGACGCUGAGACGCGAAAGCGUGGGGAGCAAACAGG
rnacentral:rRNA from 1 species